GGUGAACGCUGGCGGCGUGCCUAAUACAUGCAAGUCGAGCGAACGGACGAGAAGCUUGCUUUCCUAAUGUUAGCUGCGGACGGGUGACUAACACGUGGAUAAGCUACCUAUAAGACUGGGAUAACUUCGUGAAACCUGAGCUAAUACCGGAUAAUAUUUUCUACCGCAUGAUUCAUACGUGAAAGACUGUCUUGCUGUCACUUAUAGAUGGUUCCGCGUUGCAUUAGCUAGUUGGUAAGGUAACGGCAUACCAAGGCAACGAUGCAUAGCCGACCUGAGGGGGUGAUCGGCCACACUGGAACUGAGACACGGUCCAGACUCCUACGGGAGGAAGCAGUAGGGAAUCUUCCGCAAUGGGCGAAAGCCUGACGGAGCAACACCGCGUGAGUGAUGAAGGUCUUCGGAUCGUAAAGCUCUGUUAUUAGGAAAGAAGAUAUGUGUAAGUAACUGUGAACAUAAUGACGGUACCUAAACAGAAAGCCCCGGCUAACUUCGUG
rnacentral:rRNA from 1 species